rnacentral:lncRNA from 1 species
AUAAGCUCAAAUAAUGGUUGGAAAAAAUAAGGGGAAGAGAAUUCUGAAAGAAAUGUAUUUCUUCCCACUAACUCCAGUAGUUGCACAAGGGUAAUAUUUCUCCCACACCCCAUUCCUGCUGUAGUCACUGUUUGAAUGUUUUGUAGCAGCUGAAAUAAUGUCAAUGUUCUGUUUUUUGGUUUCCAGACAAAGUAGUUUGAAUGCUUUUGUACAUUGCGUUUGUUGGUUAAACUGUCAAAGAGCAAAGAAAAAUACCGUGGAGUUUUGGUGGCUGUUUGGGGACUUUCUGGUGAUUUGGUAAUUCUUACUUUGGGCUGAAACCACUGUGAAAAUUACCUUAUUUCAAUGAAAUUCUGCCCCGUUUUUCAAGAUUUGUUUAGUCUGACAUUGCUUCUCCCGUGUGGGCGAGGAAUACUUGAUACAAGUUGGAGGAGUAUGGCUUUGAAAUACCUGACUGCUGCUGUCCUUUGCAGACCUUUGAUUUUUGGGGCCACUUAGACCUGUUGUCAGAGCAUGAAAGGGGUGCUAGGGCUACAGCAGCCCUAAAGAACCCCAGCCACCCUUCCCCAGCUGCUCGCAGUGCUGUUCCUCUCACCUGCUUCUGAUCAGGAACAGAUUGCACUCAUACAGCCAGGCUUAUUUUGGAUACCCGAAGUCUUUAUGAACCAUUAGUUACUGAGAGUUCGGCUUGCUGACGUGCAUCACACACCAUCCAAGUACCCGCGACCUCGUUGAGAGGUGUGCUGAAGCGUGGCCAACCCCCCAGGUGUCUUAUCUCCCGUGAGUUAGCAUCAGAUGAAGCUUGCUGACAGCAUAAUGGCAGGGAAAACCUCCGACGGCUCCAUCAAAUGGCAGCUCUGCUACGACAUCUCGGCCAGAACUUGGUGGAUGUGGAGCAGCCUCACACUUGUCCCACUUGUGUGCUUUCCCCUGUGUAACAGGAGACCGUUAAUGUGCACUACAGUUUCCACAGGGAAGCUUUCUCAAUUCUCCUUAAGGAAGGAAAAAAAAAAUAAAAAAAAUACACAAACUAUGCAAA